GAUGAAGAACGUAGCGAAAUGCGAUAAGUAAUGUGAAUUGCAGAAUUCAGUGAAUCAUCGAAUCUUUGAACGCACAUUGCGCCCGCCAGUAAUCUGGCGGGCAUGCCUGUUCGAGCGUCAUUACAACCCUCAGGCCCCCGGGCCUGGCGUUGGGGAUCGGCGGAAGCCCCCUGCGGGCACAACGCCGUCCCCCAAAUACAGUGGCGGUCCCGCCGCAGCUUCCAUUGCGUAGUAGCUAACACCUCGCAACUGGAGAGCGGCGCGGCCACGCCGUAAAACACCCAACUUCUGAAUGUUGACCUCGAAUCAGGUAGGAAUACCCGCUGAACUUAAGCAUAUCAAUAAGCGGAGGA
rnacentral:misc_RNA from 1 species